GAUUAUCCUAUUUAUAGAAAGUCUUCUGCCUUUCUAGGGCCCCAGAGGACCAAAAGGUGAUGCUGGACCACCUGGUCUACCAGGAGAAAAAGGAAAGCAGGGUGAAAAGGGUGAACCAGGUGCAAUCUUUGCUUCAACUGAUUCGUUAGCAGAAUUGGUUAGAAGACCAGGGGAGAAGGGUGAACCCGGAGUGAUGGGGCCAUCUGGGCCAAUGGGACCACCUGGACUACCAGGACUCAAAGGAGAACUUGGUUUAUCUGGACGGCCUGGACGUCCUGGCCUAAAUGGUCUGAAAGGUAUAAAAGGUGAACGGGGCGUAACAUUAUAUGGUGCUCCUGGUUUGCGUGGACCGCCAGGGCCUCCAGGGCCUCCAGGACGCAUAGUUUUUAUUAAAGGAGUAAGUACACAUAGAUUUGUUAUCACAUUCCGUUCCAUCCAAAUCAC
rnacentral:lncRNA from 1 species